CGUGCCAACGGCAUAGCUGGGUAGCUAUGUAUGGACGGGAUAAGUGCUGAAAGCAUCUAAGCAUGAAGCCCCCCUCGAGAUGAGAUUUCCCAACUUCGGUUAUAAGAUCCCUCAAAGAUGAUGAGGUAAAUAGGUUCGAGGUGGAAGCGUAGCGAUACGUGGAGCUGACGAAUACUAAUCGAUCGAAGACUUAAUCAACAU
rnacentral:rRNA from 1 species